GUUUUAUUUUAGCUUGUUUUAUUUACUUUAUUAUUAGUAUUACAUGAAAAUUAAUUUUUGUUUGAGCAAAUUGAUUUAUUAUUAAUUUGUUGUAAAUUUUAAAGGUGUUUAUAAUUUUUUAAUUCUCAGUAUAUAAUUUUGUAUUUAGUAUUUAUGAAAGUGCGAUACGGUAAUUAAUAAUUAACUUGAUGAAUAUUCGUGCCAGCAUUCGCGGUUAUACCUUAGAGUUGAGUAAAAUGGUUGGGUUUUAGUUAAUUGGUUGAUUUAAUUUAAAUUAUUAAUAAUAAAGGGUAAAAUUGAAUUAUUAUUAUUGUAAUUACUGUAAAUCGUGAUUGAAGCUAAUAAACUUUAGUUAUAGACUAGGAUUAGAUACCCUAUUAUUCUUGAGCCAAAGGAGGACAAACUUAAUAUAUAGUAGAUAUUUUCUUUAAAAUUAAAAAAUUUGGCGGUUAUUUAAUCUUUUCAGAGGAACUUGUUUUAUAAUCGAUAAACCACGUAAAAUCUUACCUAUUUUAAUAUAUUGGUUUGUAUACCGUCAUUAUUAGAUAAUUUUAAAAGAAUAAAUUAUUGCAAUUAAAGAAUUUUAAUUAAAUUAGAUCAUGGUACAGCUUAUAGAUAGGUAAAAAUGAGUUACAAUAAAUUAUUUUAUAUGAAUUAAUGGCUUAAUUGGUCGUUAUGAAGGAGGAUUUGAUUGUAUUAUUUUUUUAAUAAGUGAAUAAGAUAUAAGCUCUAAAUUAUGUACAUAUCGCCCGUCGCUUUCGCCAACAAGCGGAAUAAGUCGUAACAUAGUAAAUAUACUUGAAAGUGUAUUUAGAA
rnacentral:rRNA from 1 species